GAUGAACGCUGGCGGCGUGCCUAAUACAUGCAAGUCGAGCGAAUGGAUUAAGAGCUUGCUCUUAUGAAGUUAGCGGCGGACGGGUGAGUAACACGUGGGUAACCUGCCCAUAAGACUGGGAUAACUCCGGGAAACCGGGGCUAAUACCGGAUAACAUUUUGAACCGCAUGGUUCGAAAUUGAAAGGCGGCUUCGGCUGUCACUUAUGGAUGGACCCGCGUCGCAUUAGCUAGUUGGUGAGGUAACGGCUCACCAAGGCAACGAUGCGUAGCCGACCUGAGAGGGUGAUCGGCCACACUGGGACUGAGCACCGGCCCAGACUCCUACGGGAGGCAGCAGUAGGGAAUCUUCCGCAAUGGACGAAAGUCUGACGGAGUAACGCCGCGUGAGUGAUGAAGGCUUUCGGGUCGUAAAACUCUGUUGUUAGGGAAGAACAAGUGCUAGUUGAAUAAGCUGGCACCUUGACGGUACCUAACCAGAAAGCCACGGCUAACUACGUGCCAGCCGCCGCAGUAA
rnacentral:rRNA from 1 species